UGGCAGCUAGCCUAGCGGUUAAGAGCGUUGGGCCAAUAACCCAAAGGUUGCUGGUUCGAAUCCUGGGCCGACAA
rnacentral:tRNA from 1 species